UACGGAGGAUCCGAGCGUUAUCCGGAUUCACUGGGUUUAAAGGGUGCGUAGGCGGGUAAGUAAGUCAGUGGUGAAAUCUUCAAGCUUAACUUGGAAACUGCCAUUGAUACUAUUUAUCUUGAAUGUUCUGGAGGUCAGCGGAAUAUGUCAUGUAGCGGUGAAAUGCUUAGAUAUGACAUAGAACACCUAUUGCGAAGGCAGCUGACUACGGAAAUAUUGACGCUGAGGCACGAAAGCGUGGGGAUCAAACAGG
rnacentral:rRNA from 1 species